CAAUGUCAACAGCCUACAAAGAAAAUCUGUAUAAGAUGUUUUACAGAUGGCACUUAGCACCAGCAAAAUUAGCGAAAAUGUUUAAAGAUAAAUCAACCAAAUGCUGGAAGUGUCAUCAAACACCAGGAACAUACUACCAUAUAUGGUGGAUUUGCAUAGAAGCUAAA